rnacentral:lncRNA from 1 species
AAUAUCUAUCUGUUCCCCACGACUGGUGAGAUAAUAUCUGUAAAAGGUUUAUAGUUUUAAGACAUUUCAGCUUAAACUGUUUUAUAUGCUGUAUGAAGCUUAGCUUAGUAUCGAAGAUUACACCCAAAAAUUUUUGUUCUUUUCGAUUUACCAGGCUUCUCCCAUUCAUCGUAAGCAAGGGUAAGGACAUACCCCUCUUCGUCUGGAAAACAGCACACAAAACCUGGAGCCGAGCUGCCACAAGAGCCUAGGGCAAGCUUGAGUUCAUGGAAUGUUAGUGGUUUAUUCGCACGUCCUGGAGUAGGCUGGAUGGCUUCCACCACAGUUCAAACAAUGUGGAGAUGAGUCCCAAG